rnacentral:rRNA from 1 species
GAUGAACGCUGGCGGCGUGCUUAACACAUGCAAGUCGAACGGGAAACCUUUUAUUGAAGCUUCGGCAGAUUUAGAUUGUUUCUAGUGGCGGACGGGUGAGUAACGCGUGGGUAACCUGCCUUGUACAGGGGGAUAACAGUCAGAAAUGACUGCUAAUACCGCAUAAACGCACAGGACCGCAUGGUCCGGUGUGAAAAACUCCGGUGGUAUAAGAUGGACCCGCGUUGGAUUAGCUAGUUGGUGAGGUAACGGCCCACCAAGGCGACGAUCCAUAGCCGGCCUGAGAGGGUGAACGGCCACAUUGGGACUGAGACACGGCCCAGACUCCUACGGGAGGCAGCAGUGGGGAAUAUUGCACAAUGGGGGAAACCCUGAUGCAGCGACGCCGCGUGAAGGAAGAAGUAUCUCGGUAUGUAAACUUCUAU